AGAGUUUGAUCCUGGCUCAGGAUGAACGCUGGCGGCGUGCUUAACACAUGCAAGUCGAGCGAAGCAGUUAAGAAGAUUCUUCGGAUGAUUCUUAACUGACUGAGCGGCGGACGGGUGAGUAACGCGUGGGUGACCUGCCCCAUACCGGGGGAUAACAGCUGGAAACGGCUGCUAAUACCGCAUAAGCGCACAGAGCUGCAUGGCUCGGUGUGAAAAACUCCGGUGGUAUGGGAUGGGCCCGCGUCUGAUUAGGCAGUUGGCGGGGUAACGGCCCACCAAACCGACGAUCAGUAGCCGGCCUGAGAGGGCGACCGGCCACAUUGGGACUGAGACACGGCCCAAACUCCUACGGGAGGCAGCAGUGGGGAAUAUUGCACAAUGGGGGAAACCCUGAUGCAGCAACGCCGCGUGAGUGAUGACGGCCUUCGGGUUGUAAAGCUCUGUCUUCAGGGACGAUAAUGACGGUACCUGAGGAGGAAGCCACGGCUAACUACGUGCCAGCAGCCGCGGUAAUACGUAGGUGGCAAGCGUUGUCCGGAUUUACUGGGCGUAAAGGGAGCGUAGGCGGACUUUUAAGUGAGAUGUGAAAUACCCGGGCUCAACUUGGGUGCUGCAUUUCAAACUGGAAGUCUAGAGUGCAGGAGAGGAGAAUGGAAUUCCUAGUGUAGCGGUGAAAUGCGUAGAGAUUAGGAAGAACACCAGUGGCGAAGGCGAUUCUCUGGACUGUAACUGACGCUGAGGCUCGAAAGCGUGGGGAGCAAACAGGAUUAGAUACCCUGGUAGUCCACGCCGUAAACGAUGAAUAAUAGGUGUAGGGGGUGUCCUGACCUCUGUGCCGCCGCUAACCCAGUAAGUAUUUCCCCCGGGGAGUCCGUUCGCAAGAAUGAAACUCAAGGAAUUGACGGGGCCCCCCCCCAGCGGGGGAACAUGUGGUUUAAUUCGAAGCAACGCGAAGAACCUUACCUGGUCUUGACAUCCUUCUGACCGGUCCUUAUCCGGACCUUUCCUUCGGGACAGGAGUGAACAGGCGGUGCAUGGUUGUCGUCAGCUCGUGUCGUGAGAUGUCGGGUAACGUCCCGCAACGAGCGCAACCCCUAUCUUUAGUAGCCAGCAUUUCAGGUGGGCACUCUAGAGAGACUGCCAGGGAUCAUCCUGGAGGAAGGUGGGGNCGACGUCAAAUCAUCAUGCCCCUGACGACCUACGGGCGACACACGUGCUACAAUGGCGUAAACAGAGGGAAGCAGCCUCGUGAGAGUGAGCAAAUCCCAAAAAUAACGUCUCAGUUCGGAUUGUAGUCUGCAACUCGACUACAUGAAGCUGGAAUCGCUAGUAAUCGCGAAUCAGAAUGUCGCGGUGAAUACGUUCCCGGGUCUUGCACUCACCGCCCGUCA
rnacentral:rRNA from 1 species